CGCUCUGACACCAUUCACUCUAAAGUUCCACACAGUCAAGGACCUGUGCAGACUGCUGCAGCACAAGCUCUGGAUAGCACAACCCCGGACAACUUUCUCCCUUGUGAUUUUCUGAGGGGAUCUGCUUGUUUGGAUUAUAUUCAUUUAGCACUAUUAAAUACUAACAUAGAGAAUUAGUCGUGCGUGUUAGUUUUGUCUAACAUUUUUUUUUCCCAAAGAAAAAGUGCAGCGUUUCUUUUCUGACAUAGCCUUAAACAGGAUAUUUAAUUCUGUAUACAUAUAUGUAUGUAUAAAUAUAUAUAUUAUGCUUUUUUAGAAGGUUAAGGACAAGUGCAAUGCGCGUCAGAUUCGUCUCUUGGGAUUGUCUCAGUUGCGCUUGAGGAACUAUGUCGAGUUGAAGCACAGGGUUUAUUCAAGAGGACGCAGUCCAAUGUGAACAGCAAGAACCAGCCUUCUCGAGCUUUCACACUUCCAAGCAAGUGCACCACGGCGUCUGACCGAGCCCGCUGAGCUGCGCUGACAUUACGGUGUGUCUCUCCCCGAGGGGAUGGUUGUGGAUCCUCUGGGGCCAGGAGCGACUGUGAGGCUCCUACAGAAUAGCACCUUUUUCGCGUUUGGGGUCAAUUCUAAAUUAAAGGGAAAUGAGAUCCGCACCUCGCUACUUCCUGCUGUGGACGACGUACCUGCUGCUGGCCACCGCUGAGGUGAAGUUCUCGGGACACCGCACGGGCAAAGAGGAAGUGGAGUUUCCACAGGAGCUGAUAGACCGCCUGUCCCACAGUGAAAUCCACAGCAUCAGCGACCUCCAGCGGCUACUGGAGAUUGACUCCGUAGGUGCGGGAAACGAUGUCAUUGAGGAGCACAAGUACCACAAGCACCACAGCCACCACAAGAACAGCUCUCGUCAUCCGGGUUACUACAAUGACCUGAAGAGUUCCCAGCUGCACAGCCGGCGCAAGAGGAGCAUUGUAGAGGAGGCAGUCCCGGCAGUGUGCAAGACACGGACGGUGAUCUACGAGAUCCCCAGGAGUCAGGUGGAUCCCACGUCUGCCAACUUCCUGAUAUGGCCGCCCUGUGUGGAGGUGAAGCGCUGCACGGGCUGCUGCAACACCAGCAACAUGCGCUGCCACCCGUCCCGCAAGCACCACCGCACUGUUAAGGUAGCCAAGGUGGAGUACGUGAGGAGGAGACCCAAGCUGAAAGAGGUCUUUGUGCGGUUAGAAGACCACCUGGAGUGUGUGUGCUCAUCGCAGCAUCAUGCGGCGGAGCACUCGGACGCAGAAACAGGCCACCGUAGGGCUAAAGGUAAAAAAAGGAAACGUAGAAAGCAAAGGCCCAGCAAGGACUUAUUGGUGACAUAAUAAAGUUACUCACAUUACCCAAAGUCCACUGGAGAGCUGUGAAGGGAACAGUGGAUGUGAGGUGAGACCAAUCGGAACACGGGACGUCACAGCGGGAAGGACCUAAACAGAGGAUGCUACCAACAGGACACCUGCUUGGUCCCCUUCCCCACCGCCAUGCAUCCUUCAUUUAAUUUUUUUUUUUUUUUUUUUUUGUCCUGUGAAGUCAGGAGACUGAAAAAUAGACAAAAGACUAAAUUUAAAUAUGAUGCCAAAGGUGCUUUUUUAGAAAAAAAGGAAAAAAAAAAGAAAAGAAAAGAAAGAAAAACAAUAACCCGUGAUCAUGACUUCCUCUGUGGCGUGCCGCCUGCCCAGACAACUGAACUGUGCCGCUGAUCGACGAGCAAGGAGAAGACGCUGCGGAAAGGUUGGGCCGGGGCGGAGAGGAGCCGAAGGGAGGUGACGAAAGGGAUUUGUGUUGAACGUUUUGAGAGACACUGCUUGAGCUGAACACAGAACUGAAACCGCUACCAUCGGAUCACGGACUCAGGAAGUAUCCUGCCCCAUUUAAAUGACUCUUGAAUACACAGGAAGAAAGAAAGAGAAAGGAAAACCAAUGGAGAGAAAAAAUUGAUUUAAAGUGUUUUUGUUUUUUUUUAUCAAAAGACUCUAUUUGGAGCGUCAAACAUUUCGAGUUAUUAGAUGUUUGCUCUGAGCAAAUAGUAAACCUUCUCCGAGACCCCUGGUUGUCUGGGCACUUUGCCCAUGUGCUAUGUACAGUUAUAUCUGAAAAAGGAAGAUGCGCCGCUACUUACAAACUAUUUAUAUGUGUGGACGUUUGCUUUCUGUCUCUUCAAACACACGAGAAAGAACAAAACAUGUGUUGUUGUUGUUUUUUUGUUUUUUUUUUCUAUGAAUUCUCACACAUGCAAGCGUUCGGAGUGGUCCGGUUCUUUGUAACCAUCAGUAUCACAAUCUCAAUGUCUUCUUUUUUUUUUUUUUUUUUUGUUUCUUAGUUGUUGUUUUUCUUGUCAGCCAUGUUUCUUAUUAUAUUACAGUAUAUCUGAUUGAUGUCAAGUCUUGUAUAUGGUUUGGAUAUAUGUGUGCAAGGAGGAGAUGUGAGAGUCGGUGCAGGAAGAUGCUUUAUUUUUGUUAUGAAAUAUAUUAUGCGUACCUAUAUCUAAGCAGGAAUUAUGUUUAUUUGUUGUUGUGGUGGAGUGCCUGUAUUUAAUCCAGAGGAGGGGGGAAAAAAAUGCAAAAAUAUGGACAGGAGGGUGGAAUAGACAAGGAAAAAAAAACACUUCCAGUGCUAUAAGCCUGUGUUUAGCCAGUGGGUUAAAGCUGAGAGAACGGUGGAAGAUUAGAAGGAUGAAAUGUCAACUUCAUAAUGAGUUGUAGCAUUUAGCUAAUAUUUGGCAUAUUUUUGUAAAAGUUCACACCAACACGCAUGCAGCACGUAGGAGUGUGUUAAUUCCAAAUCACGUAAGGACACAAAAACGCAACUGUAGUGCACAAUCAUGCCUGAACAGGGAGGGGCUAGACAGGUUGUGUGUUUCCCCACACACAAUUCCUUCGAUACAGGAGGCUAUUUUUCACCCCUGUCACUCCGCCGUUGAUAAGGAAGAUCCCCGCCCGGUCUGCUUCACAAGCGCACAUGUUGUGCCCACAAAGAGCAAAGUCCACUUCAAAGCGAACGAGUGAGCAAAGCAAAUCGACAAGCGCAUGAAUGGGCUCCUUGUUUCGCCGGGCUCUACUCCUACGUUGACAGGAGAACAAAUGUCCGAUUCGCUCCGCCCCGUGCGGUCACUCGCGGCGAGCACCCCGGGGUUCGCCUGAAAGCGGCGCGGCGCCGGGCCUGAACCUGCGCCGCCACGACGGAGCAAACCUUCCACGAAAGAAACGUGCCCCCGGGGCCAACGUGGUCGAGAGAAAACAAAACAAAAAAGUCAUUUCUGUUAAAAAGAGGAUGUUUUUCUAGACAAAAGCACAAGAGUGAGUCACUGUUCAAUGUGAAGUGAAUCAAGUGAAAGUCAAACAGGAAAUGUUUGGCUGAAACGUGGCUGUGUCGCCUACUGCCGAGCUGUGGGCACGUCACGCUACGCACCCGCGGCUCGCUCGUGAAUGAACCUGGAAGCUGACUGGUGCUACGUUCGCAAGGCUGACGCUUCGACACUGUUCACAUCUAUGUCAAUGUAAGAUAGUGCUCUCAGUAAAUCAGGGACCACGCUUAGAGCUGUUUAACUGCCAUACAAAAUAGUGCCAUCAUGCUAUCUAUCACAAGCCUUUAUUAGUUUUCCUUUUUUUCUUUUUCUUUUCCAGUGGAUAAGACAGCAAUAAUCAUAAUUUAUAUAUUUAUGUUUUCAACAAUAAAUAUAUUUCUGCUUA